GAUGAACGCUGGCGGCGUGCUUAACACAUGCAAGUCGAACGGUGAACACGGAGCUUGCUCUGUUGUAUCAGUGGCGAACGGGUGAGUAACACGUGAGCAACCUGCCCCUGACUCCGGGAUAAGCGCUGGAAACGGCGUCUAAUACUGGAUAUGUGACGUGACCUCAUGGUCUGCGUUUGGAAAGAUUUUUCGGUUGGGACUGGGCUCGCGGCCUAUCAGCUUGUUGGUGAGGUAAUGGCUCACCAAGGCGUCGGCGGGUAGCCGGCCUGCGAGGGUGACCGGCCACACUGGGACUGAGAAACGGCCCAGACUCCUACGGGGGGCAGCAGUGGGGAAUAUUGCACGAUGGGCGGAAGCCUGAUGCAGCAACGCCGCAUGGGGGAUGACGGCCUUCGGGUUGUAACGCUUUUGUAGCAGGGAAGAAGCGAAAGUGACGGUACCUGCAGAAAAAGCGCCGGCUAACUACGUG
rnacentral:rRNA from 1 species